AUUGAACGCUGGCGGCAUGCUUUACACAUGCAAGUCGAACGGUAACAGGUUAAGCUGACGAGUGGCGAACGGGUGAGUAAUGCAUCGGAACGUGCCCGAUCGUGGGGGAUAACGCAGCGAAAGCUGCGCUAAUACCGCAUACGAUCUGAGGAUGAAAGCGGGGGACCGUAAGGCCUCGCGCGAUCGGAGCGGCCGAUGUCAGAUUAGGUAGUUGGUGGGGUAAAGGCUCACCAAGCCGACGAUCUGUAGCUGGUCUGAGAGGACGACCAGCCACACUGGGACUGAGACACGGCCCAGACUCCUACGGGAGGCAGCAGUGGGGAAUUUUGGACAAUGGGCGAAAGCCUGAUCCAGCAAUGCCGCGUGCAGGAAGAAGGCCUUCGGGUUGUAAACUGCUUUUGUACGGAGCGAAAAGGCUCUCUCUAAUACAGGGGGCUCAUGACGGUACCGUAAGAAUAAGCACCGGCUAACUACGUGCCAGCAGCAGCCGCGGUAA
rnacentral:rRNA from 1 species